GACGAACGCUGGCGGCGUGCUUAACACAUGCAAGUCGAACGGAAAGGCCCUGCUUUUGUGGGGUGCUCGAGUGGCGAACGGGUGAGUAACACGUGAGUAACCUGCCCUUGACUUUGGGAUAACUUCAGGAAACUGGGGCUAAUACCGGAUAGGAGCUCCUGCUGCAUGGUGGGGGUUGGAAAGUUUCGGCGGUUGGGGAUGGACUCACGGCUUAUCAGCUUGUUGGUGGGGUAGUGGCUUACCAAGGCUUCGACGGGUAGCCGGCCUGAGAGGGUGACCGGCCACAUUGGGACUGAGAUACGGCCCAGACUCCUACGGGAGGCAGCAGUGGGGAAUAUUGCACAAUGGGCGGAAGCCUGAUGCAGCAACGCCGCGUGCGGGAUGACGGCCUUCGGGUUGUAAACCGCUUUCGCCUGUGACGAAGCGUGAGUGACGGUAAUGGGUAAAGAAGCACCGGCUAACUACGUG
rnacentral:rRNA from 1 species